GGUGCUGUGGCUUAGUUGGUCAAAGUGCCUGUCUAGUAAACAGGAGAUCCUGGGUUCAAAUCCCAGCAGUGCCC